rnacentral:hammerhead_ribozyme from 11 species
AAUUGGUCGAGGGUUGGAGUCGUUCCCCUGCUGAGUCCAUGGCAGGACAAAACUAGUU